AAUGCGAGAGUAGCAAUCCCAUAAACCGUGGCUCAGUUCAGAUCGUAGGCUGCAACUCGCCUACGUGAAGUAGGAAUCGCUAGUAAUCGCAGGUCAGCAUACUGCGGUGAAUACGUUCCCGGGCCUUGUACACACCGCCCGUCACACCAUGGAAGUUGGCCAUGCCCGAAGUCGUUACUCCAACCCUUGUGGAGGAGGACGCCGAAGGUGGGGCUAAUGACUGGGGUGAAGUCGUAACAAGGUAGCCGUACCGGAAGGUGCGGCUGGAUCACCUCCUAA
rnacentral:rRNA from 1 species